rnacentral:rRNA from 1 species
GACGAACGCUGGCGGCGUGCUUAACACAUGCAAGUCGAACGGAAAGGCCCUGCUUUUGUGGGGUGCUCGAGUGGCGAACGGGUGAGUAACACGUGAGUAACCUGCCCUUGACUUUGGGAUAACCUCAGGAAACUGGGGCUAAUACCGGAUAGGAGCUCCUGCUGCAUGGUGGGGGUUGGAAAGUUUCGGCGGUUGGGGAUGGACUCGCGGCUUAUCAGCUUGUUGGUGGGGUAGUGGCUUACCAAGGCUUUGACGGGUAGCCGGCCUGAGAGGGUGACCGGCCACAUUGGGACUGAGAUACGGCCCAGACUCCUACGGGAGGCAGCAGUGGGGAAUAUUGCACAAUGGGCGGAAGCCUGAUGCAGCAACGCCGCGUGCGGGAUGACGGCCUUCGGGUUGUAAACCGCUUUCGCCUGUGACGAAGCGUGAGUGACGGUAAUGGGCAAAGAAGCACCGGCUAACUACGUG